UACGGGGGGGGCAAGCGUUGUUCGGAAUUACUGGGCGUAAAGGGCUCGUAGGCGGCCAACUAAGUCAGACGUGAAAUCCCUCGGCUUAACCGGGGAACUGCGUCUGAUACUGGAUGGCUUGAGAUUGGGAGAGGGAUGCGGAAUUCCAGGUGUAGCGGUGAAAUGCGUAGAUAUCCAACGGAACUCCGGUGGCGAAGGCGAGGUGCUGGACCCUUUCUGACGCUGAGGCGCGAAAGCCAGGGGAGCGAACGGG
rnacentral:rRNA from 1 species